ACGCUGGCGGCAGGCCUAACACAUGCAAGUCGAGCGGUAGAGAGAAGCUUGCUUCUCUUGAGAGCGGCGGACGGGUGAGUAAUGCCUAGGAAUCUGCCUGGUAGUGGGGGAUAACGUUCGGAAACGGACGCUAAUACCGCAUACGUCCUACGGGAGAAAGCAGGGGACCUUCGGGCCUUGCGCUAUCAGAUGAGCCUAGGUCGGAUUAGCUAGUUGGUGGGGUAAUGGCUCACCAAGGCGACGAUCCGUAACUGGUCUGAGAGGAUGAUCAGUCACACUGGAACUGAGACACGGUCCAGACUCCUACGGGAGGCAGCAGUGGGGAAUAUUGGACAAUGGGCGAAAGCCUGAUCCAGCCAUGCCGCGUGUGUGAAGAAGGUCUUCGGAUUGUAAAGCACUUUAAGUUGGGAGGAAGGGUUGUAGAUUAAUACUCUGCAAUUUUGACGUACCGACAGAAUAAGCACCGGCUAACUCUGUGCCAGCAGCCGCGGUAAUACAGAGGGUGCAAGCGUUAAUCGGAAUUACUGGGCGUAAAGCGCGCGUAGGUGGUUAGUUAAGUUGGAUGUGAAAUCCCCGGGCUCAACCUGGGAACUGCAUUCAAAACUGACUGACUAGAGUAUGGUAGAGGGUGGUGGAAUUUCCUGUGUAGCGGUGAAAUGCGUAGAUAUAGGAAGGAACACCAGUGGCGAAGGCGACCACCUGGACUGAUACUGACACUGAGGUGCGAAAGCGUGGGGAGCAAAC
rnacentral:rRNA from 1 species